rnacentral:lncRNA from 1 species
AAACAGUGUCGGAAGGAUGAAGGAGUGGGGGGGGCCAUGUGCCCCAUGCAGAGCAGAGGCAGAUGUGUGCUCGUGUUAAUCUAACCUUCACCUGCAUCUUCGUCAGGAACGGGUAGGAAGAAACAGACACUGAGCACCGUGGAGAAGUCCAGAGAGGAUUGGGAGCAGCUGGUCAUAUCCACAGUCAAGAACAGAGAGAGAGUGAACAUGGCUGCCCGUGCAGGACCCCGGACUUAGGGGAUGGUACCGCCCACGGAUUUCUCUGUGUCCUGGAACUCAUGCUGUAGACCAGAGUGGUCACGAACUCGGAAACCUGCCUACCCCUGCCUCCUGAGUGCUGAGAUUAAAGGCAUGCGCCACCACCUCCAUAACAAUCAAAAUUUAACCUCUA